UACGGGGGGAGCAAGCGUUGUUCGGAUUUACUGGGCGUAAAGGGCGCGUAGGCGGUCAGCACAAGUCAGUUGUGAAAUCUCCGGGCUUAACUCGGAAAGGUCAACUGAUACUGUGCGACUAGAGUGCAGAAGGGGCAACUGGAAUUCUCGGUGUAGCGGUGAAAUGCGUAGAUAUCGAGAGGAACACCUGCGGCGAAGGCGGGUUGCUGGGCUGACACUGACGCUGAGUGCGCGAAAGCCAGGGGAGCAAACGGG
rnacentral:rRNA from 1 species